rnacentral:rRNA from 1 species
AUGCUCAGGCAAAAAAAAAAAGUUAUAGUGAAAUCUAGCAACGCGUUGACUGAAAGUGUGAUUCGUCACCUUGCACAUGUUGGGAGGGCAGGUGGCGAGGGCGCAGCCGUGGCUGCUGCAGGAGCCAUGACGGAAGUCGUGGUGCGGGGUGAUCCUGAGGCGGCCGCCGGCGUCGACGCUGGCCGGGUUGGUGCUGAUCUCCGAGAAGUAGCCGGCCAGGCCGUGGUGCGCGAGGACGGUGUCGAUGAAAAACGCGUUGGCGUCGCUGAGGAUCCGCAGCUCGCAGCCGAGAGCCUGUGCGGCCUUGAUGGCCGCCACGACGUGAUGGGACAGAGGCGCCGUCCUGAUGCUGCCCGCGAUCUCGUCGAUCGUUUUGCCUUGCGAGUGCAACUCGCCCAUCAUGGCGUCCUUUUAAGAAAGAAGGCAACAAUUCCAUAA